UCCUUCAUUCAGCAAAUGAGAACUGAAAUGAGAAAGGAGGAGAGGAGCCGACCGGGUGAGAGAGUAGACCGAGAUUGAGGAGGAGUCGAGCCGAUAAGGAGAAGGGAACAUCGUGUGAAGGAGAGACAAGCAAAGAAACUAGAAGGGGAGACGGAAAUGCUGUCGAAAAGGGAAAUGAGGAGGUGUCACGGAGGCAAAAAGCCGAAGGGAAAGGAAGAAAAGGGAAUCGCGAUCGAGAAACACCGUGUUGCAUACGAUGUUAGUGUCCGAAAUUCGGUGUGAAACCAAUCACCCAAUCUUCGAAGCAAGCGAGGAGUACUCUCGGGGAACCCAGGGAGACCAUCCUCCAGAAGCUAAGAGUCAAACCCGAGGCUGUUCGGGUUUUCAGUGCACCGCACCCGAACCAAGUUUCGGGAGCUAGAGCGCUCACUUUGCCACGAUGAGUGAAGUCUUCUCGGAAAAAAUCAAAAAUCGUCUCUAGUAGUAAAAAUCGAAAAAAUGAAGUUGUUUGGCCUUCACCGCAGCAAACCGAAUCGGAUUUUAGGAACAAAAUCAUCCAACCCUAAGCAAAGAGCUAAAGUGGUGGUUCGUUGAAUACUGAAGAAUGAGAUUGUUGUGGCUAUUGAUCAAAUGGAGUACAAUUUGUUGAGGGACUUUGGGAAUGAAAAAGGAAAUGUCGGUGCUCAUACCGAUGUGUUUGAUAUUUGAAGGAAAUAUGUGUUGGAUAAUUGUACUUCAUAUUUGUUGGUACCAAUGGUAUGUUGUCCCAAGAGUCCGAGUUGGGUUCCGCUCUUGUUGUUUUCCACAGCACCUGAGGAGACAUUGAGUUUGCACUCUUUCUAAGAGUUGCAUCCAAAACUGUUGAACACAUUUUCAAACGUGGUUCAAACUUGACAUGGAGACAUUGAGAUCAAUUUUGACAAGUUUCAUGCCGAGCAGAAGUGAACUUAUUUCAUCCCAUCAUGUUUUUCAGACAAUGAGAUGCUCAACACAACAGAGGGUGAACCUGAAGACCAUUUGAAUUAUAUAAAUAUUUUAUAUAGUCCAUAAUCAUACUUUUACUUUCCGCCUUUAUUAAUUUAUUUUUACUCAGAUGUAAAGCUGAUGAAAAUUACGAAGUAAAAGAAAAAAAAAUGAUUAUAUCUAUAUAUAUAUAUUUAUCUGUAAUGAGACCAUACGAACAAUUUAUCAUGCUUAAUAUUUGUAGGUAAAGAAUCAGCAACGUAGCUAAGUCUUGUAUUUUCUGAACUACAUGUAUAACAUCAUAAAAUGAGGCAAAA